rnacentral:rRNA from 1 species
UACGUAGGUGGCAAGCGUUGUCCGGAAUCACUGGGCGUAAAGCGCGCGCAGGCGGCGAUCUACGUCUGGGGUGAAAGCCCGGAGCUCAACUCCGGGACUGCCUUGGAUACGGGAUCGCUUGAGGAUUGGAGAGGCAAGGGGAAUUCAACGUGUAGCGGUGAAAUGCGUAGAUAUGUGGAGGAACACCUGUGGCGAAGGCGCCUUGCUGGCCAAUUUCUGACGCUGAGGCGCGAAAGCGUGGGGAGCAAACAGG